GACGAACCGUACGAACGUUAUUCGGAAUCACUGGGCUUAAAGGGUGCGUAGGCGGCGCGACAAGUUGGGUGUGAAAUCCCUCGGCUCAACCGAGGAACUGCGCCCAAAACUGUCGUGCUCGAGGGAGACAGAGGUGAGCGGAGCUUAGGGUGGAGCGGUGAAAUGCGUUGAUAUCCUAAGGAACACCGGUGGCGAAAGCGGCUCACUGGGUCUCUUCUGACGCUGAGGCACGAAAGCUAGGGUAGCGAACGGG
rnacentral:rRNA from 1 species